rnacentral:rRNA from 1 species
GCUAAAUGCAGAUCUAUAGUCUUAUUUGCAAUUUAUUGUAAGCCUACCAGCUUAACAGAUAAGUGCAAGGACUUACUGGAAAAUUUGCGGAGCAUUUCGUAAAUAACAUAAAAGGUAAGGGUUAAGACGAAACAUGAUGAAGAGAUAAGGUUCUCUAUCGCUUCAUGUGGUCUUGCAUACGAAUCAAUGGAUUCGUCUAGCUUUGCUCUAGCAGCCACGCCGUCGAAUCCGCUGUGGGAGAGGCUGUGACGGCGAGCAGCCACGCCAGAGGACACCCCUGUGGUUGUGCUCUGCGUGUCGCGUCGGACCUGGCAACCGCGGAGGGCGCCGUUGGCCACCGGGCCUUGUGCGAGCAGCACUUACAGGGGUGCCCCGCUCGGGCCGGCCGCUGUGGUUGUGUGCAGAGGCUCCGACAGUCGGUCGCCGCGGACGCGCGUUCGAGGGCUGGGGAGCCUUGCCUGACGUCACCGCCUUGCUUCAGCACCGGGCUGAACCAUGCACCGCGCAGCCGCCGUGCGGAGGGGUGCCGACCGCUGCGCUAUGAGCGGCCAUGGCGUGUGGAGAUGGGCCGGGCGCUGCCGCAAGCUGGGCAUCGUUGGCUGUAAGCCACCGCCGUCGCCUCUGCCGUUGGCGAGAAAUCGCGAUUCUGGCCCGGGGGAAGCAGCGAUGGAACGCCGUGCGACGCCGCACUGCUGCUACUGUGCGUAGGCACACCGUAACUGAGGGCCAUGACGGCGUUGAGACUCAAGGCCGGCCGUCGCAGAGGAGGGCACCGUGCGCCGGGGCUAUUUCGCCGGCUCUGUUCAAAGAGAAGAAGGGAAGAAGGGGGCUGACGCGGCUCGCCGCGGUCGGAGAAACCGGGCCGUGGUCACAUCCAUCACGCCGCCCGCCUCCCGUGAUGCAGUCGUGUCCAGCCGCUGCCACCACAUCAGGGAGUGAGGCCGCGACGCCACGCGCGUGCCUGCGCUCGCUGCCGGUCGAGAAGACCAUGCACACCGCCGUGUCGCUACACGCGCCUUGCCGGCAGGAGGGAGCGCUUUUGCCCGUUCGUUCUCUCCUUCUCGUCGGAAUUGCUCUCGCCGGAGAGCAGUGCUGAUAACGUGUUAAAUGUAAUCGAGAGACAAAUGAUAGAGAGAAUCAAGUCAGUCUUUAUUGAUAGAUGAUAUGAGUUUAUAUACAAUCUCAACAUGUGUCUCUAAAGGAGGCGACUAUUCCGGAAAGGUUGGCUUCAAAGGUUGCAACGCUUCAGGGAGAAAGCCCCUCCAUCGGUUGGAACUGCCGGUACGGGAAGAGUGGGGAUUAUCCCAUAUUUAAUGAUGGGUUAAUUAUUCUUAACAAUAUGAGCAUUUAAAGAACACACAUGGCUAGGAUUUCAUGUGUGACUAAGACAUGUCGAUAAUGGUGUCGCCAUGGACAACUACGAGCUCCCAACCGCACUCGACCUUCCGACCAUGGCGAAGAGACAAAUAAGAGAGAGCAAUUGAUGAGAUCUAGGGGAUUGACAACCUUCUUAUCUUUGUUGGGUGCAAGCAUUUGCUUUUUGUGUGUAUUGAAACCGUUCACGUUGUUUGUGUGGCGUCCCUUUCUGAUUAGAUAAACCUUAGUUCUUAACCGAAGGAAAUACCAUCUGCUACUAUACUACUUCACCCUCCCUCUUCAGUGAAACCC